rnacentral:rRNA from 1 species
CCUACGGGAGGCUGCAGUGGGGAAUAUUGGACAAUGGGGGGAACCCUGAUCUAGCCAUGCCGCGUGUGUGAAGAAGGCCCUCGGGUUGUAAAGCACUUUCAGUGAGGAAGAACGCCUGGUGGUUAAUACCCAUCAGGAAAGACAUCACUCACAGAAGAAGCACCGGCUAACUCCGUGCCAGCAGCCGCGGUAAUACGGAGGGUGCGAGCGUUAAUCGGAAUUACUGGGCGUAAAGCGCGCGUAGGUGGCUUGAUAAGCCGGUUGUGAAAGCCCCGGGCUCAACCUGGGAACGGCAUCCGGAACUGUCAAGCUAGAGUGCAGGAGAGGAAGGUAGAAUUCCCGGUGUAGCGGUGAAAUGCGUAGAGAUCGGGAGGAAUACCAGUGGCGAAGGCGGCCUUCUGGACUGACACUGACACUGAGGUGCGAAAGCGUGGGUAGCAAACAGGAUUAGAUACCCUGGUAGUC